rnacentral:rRNA from 1 species
CAGCAGCCACGGGAAUACGUAGGUGGCAAGCGUUGUCCGGAUUUAUUGGGCGUAAAGCGAGCGCAGGCGGUCAAUUAAGUCUGAUGUGAAAGCCCCCGGCUCAACCGGGGAGGGUCAUUGGAAACUGGUUGACUUGAGUGCAGAAGAGGAGAGUGGGAUUCCACGUGUAGCGGUGAAAUGCGUAGAGAUGUGGAGGAACACCAGUGGCGAAGGCGACUCUCUGGUCUGUAACUGACGCUGAGGAGCGAAAGCGUGGGGAGCGAACAGGAUUAGAUACCCCCGUAGUCCCUGUCUCUUAUAC